rnacentral:rRNA from 1 species
CCCUUAGAUGUUCCGGGCCGCACGCGUGCUACACUGAGUGGAUCAGCGGGUCAGGUUGCGCGAAAGUGUUUCCUAAUCUUUAAAUCCGCUCGUGAUGGGGAUUGACGGUUGCAAUUUUCCGUCAUGAACGAGGAAUACCUUGUAAGCGCGGGUCAUCAUCCCGCGCUGAAUACGUCCCUGCCCUUUGUACACACCGCCCGUCGCUCCUACCGAUUGAGUGGUCCGGUGAGGCUUUGGGAUCUGGGCGGAAAGAGCGUUUCGCUGUUUCUGCCCGGAAAACUCAGUCGAACCUUAUCAUUUAGAGGAAGGAGAAGUCGUAACA